UUUCUCUCUCUUCAGAGCUGAAGGUGCCUGCUUCUGAACCUAAUGGUUUGAAGUUUCUUCACAUUUCCAUCUUCAGGAUGAAUGUAAAUCCAAGCAGAACCAAUCCAGUCCUUGGGAAGCCAACAGCAAGUUCACCACACUUCUAAAUGUUGCUGAAUGGUUCCUAUUUCAAAGGUUUAGUCCAAGCUUGGAAACUUUUGACCUCUGACUCUGUUACCAUUGUGGAAAGAAUUGUUCAAAUCCCUCAACUACCAGGGCAGACAAUCCAAGAAAAAGAAAACAUAUACAAGCUGCAAGAAAAAUAAAUUCCCAAUCAACAUUUUUUGCCACAGUUACUAAAAAGUCUGAGAGGCUAUAUUUAUAUGAACUCUACUAGAGAAAAAUAUUUCAUAUAAAAAUAUGUCUUUAUGUGGGACUCUGUGUGUG
rnacentral:lncRNA from 1 species